rnacentral:rRNA from 1 species
GGUUAAGUCCUCGAUCGAUUAGUAUCUGUCAGCUCCAUGUGUCACCACACUUCCACCUCAGACCUAUCAACCUGAUCAUCUUUCAGGGAUCUUACUUCCUUGCGGAAUGGGAAAUCUCAUCUUGAGGGGGGCUUCAUGCUUAGAUGCUUUCAGCACUUAUCCCGUCCGCACAUAGCUACCCAGCGAUGCCCUUGGCAGAACAACUGGUACACCAGCGGUGCGUCCAUCCCGGUCCUCUCGUACUAAGGACAGCUCCUCUCAAAUUUCCUGCGCCCGCGACGGAUAGGGACCGAACUGUCUCACGACGUUCUGAACCCAGCUCGCGUACCGCUUUAAUGGGCGAACAGCCCAACCCUUGGGACCGACUACAGCCCCAGGAUGCGAUGAGCCGACAUCGAGGUGCCAAACCUCCCCGUCGAUGUGGACUCUUGGGGGAGAUAAGCCUGUUAUCCCCGGGGUAGCUUUUAUCCGUUGAGCGAUGGCCCUUCCAUGCGGAACCACCGGAUCACUAAGCCCGACUUUCGUCCCUGCUCGACUUGUAGGUCUCGCAGUCAAGCUCCCUUGUGCCUUUACACUCUGCGAAUGAUUUCCAACCAUUCUGAGGGAACCUUUGGGCGCCUCCGUUACCUUUUAGGAGGCGACCGCCCCAGUCAAACUGCCCACCUGACACUGUCUCCCCGCCCGAUAAGGGCGGCGGGUUAGAAGGUCAAUACAGCCAGGGUAGUAUCCCACCGAUGCCUCCACCGAAGCUGGCGCUCCGGUUUCCAAGGCUCCUACCUAUCCUGUACAAGCUGUACCAACAUUCAAUAUCAGGCUGCAGUAAAGCUCCACGGGGUCUUUCCGUCCUGUCGCGGGUAACCUGCAUCUUCACAGGUACUAUAAUUUCACCGAGUCUCUCGUUGAGACAGUGCCCAGAUCGUUGCGCCUUUCGUGCGGGUCGGAACUUACCCGACAAGGAAUUUCGCUACCUUAGGACCGUUAUAGUUACGGCCGCCGUUUACUGGGGCUUCAAUUCGCACCUUCGCUUACGCUAAGCGCUCCUCUUAACCUUCCAGCACCGGGCAGGCGUCAGCCCCUAUACUUCGCCUUACGGCUUCGCAGAGACCUGUGUUUUUGCUAAACAGUCGCCUGGGCCUAUUCACUGCGGCUCUCUCGGGCUUGCACCCUAACAGAGCACCCCUUCUCCCGAAGUUACGGGGUCAUUUUGCCGAGUUCCUUAACGAGAGUUCUCUCGAUCACCUUAGGAUUCUCUCCUCGCCUACCUGUGUCGGUUUGCGGUACGGGCACCUCUCACCUCGCUAGAGGCUUUUCUUGGCAGUGUGGAAUCAGGAACUUCGCUACUAUAAUUCGCUCGCCAUCACAGCUCAGCCUUCACGGGAAACGGAUUUGCCUAUUUCCCAGCCUAACUGCUUGGACGCGGAUAUCCAAUACCGCGCUUACCCUAUCCUCCUGCGUCCCCCCAUUGCUCAAAUGGUGAGGAGGUGGUACAGGAAUAUCAACCUGUUAUCCAUCGCCUACGCCUUUCGGCCUCGGCUUAGGUCCCGACUAACCCUGAGCGGACGAGCCUUCCUCAGGAAACCUUAGGCAUUCGGUGGAGGGGAUUCUCACCCCUCUUUCGCUACUCAUACCGGCAUUCUCACUUCUAAGCGCUCCACAAGUCCUUCCGGUCUUGCUUCACAGCCCUUAGAACGCUCUCCUACCACUGUUCGAAGAACAGUCCGCAGCUUCGGUGAUACGUUUAGCCCCGGUACAUUUUCGGCGCAGAGUCACUCGACCAGUGAGCUAUUACGCACUCUUUAAAUGGUGGCUGCUUCUAAGCCAACAUCCUGGUUGUCUAAGCAACUCCACAUCCUUUUCCACUUAACGUAUACUUUGGGACCUUAGCUGGCGGUCUGGGCUGUUUCCCUUUCGACUACGGAUCUUAUCACUCGCAGUCUGACUCCCAAGGAUAAGUCAUCGGCAUUCGGAGUUUGACUGAAUUCGGUAACCCGGUAGGGGCCCCUAGUCCAAUCAGUGCUCUACCUCCGAGACUCUUACCUUGAGGCUAGCCCUAAAGCUAUUUCGGAGAGAACCAGCUAUCUCCAGGUUCGAUUGGCAUUUCACCCCUACCCACACCUCAUCCCCGCACUUUUCAACGUGCGUGGGUUCGGGCCUCCAUUCAGUGUUACCUGAACUUCACCCUGGACAUGGGUAGAUCACCUGGUUUCGGGUCUACGACCACGUACUCAAUUCGCCCUAUUCAGACUCGCUUUCGCUGCGGCUCCGCAUCUUCUGCUUAACCUUGCACGGGAUCGUAACUCGCCGGUUCAUUCUACAAAAGGCACGCCAUCACCCGUUAACGGGCUCUGACUACUUGUAGGCACACGGUUUCAGGAUCUCUUUCACUCCCCUUCCGGGGUGCUUUUCACCUUUCCCUCACGGUACUGGUUCACUAUCGGUCACUAGGGAGUAUUUAGCCUUGGGAGAUGGUCCUCCCGGAUUCCGACGGAAUUUCACGUGUUCCGCCGUACUCAGGAUCCACUCAGGAGAGAACGAAGUUUUGACUACAGGGCUGUUACCUCCUAUGGCGGGCCUUUCCAGACCUCUUCAUCUACCUCGUUCCUUUGUAACUCCGUACAGAGUGUCCUACAACCCCAAGAGGCAAGCCUCUUGGUUUGGGCUGGUCCCGUUUCGCUCGCCGCUACUCAGGGAAUCGCAUUUGCUUUCUCUUCCUCCGGGUACUUAGAUGUUUCAGUUCCCCGGGUCUGCCUUCUCAUAUCCUAUGUAUUCAGAUAUGGAUACCACUCCAUUACGAGUGGUGGGUUUCCCCAUUCGGAAAUCUCCGGAUCAAAGCUUGCUUACAGCUCCCCGAAGCAUAUCGGUGUUCGUCCCGUCCUUCAUCGGCUCCUAGUGCCAAGGCAUCCACCGUGCGCCCUUUCUAACUUAA